AUUUUAGAGACCCACCAGUUUUACAAACUGUUUUCUUGGAUGCUUUUAUGCUAGCAUGCUUCUGGGAUUCCACCACUGAUUUACAGCACUUCAGGAAAGUUGGUACAAGCACAAUAUUCAUUCCAGUGUGGAAAUGAUGUUUGUUUCCAAAGACAAUGUCACUUGCAGUUACCUGAUCAUAUUCAUCACAAGACACAACAGCUUCUCUUCCAGGCCUCCCAGGAUCUCUGUGGAAGGUAGGAAAUCAGUUGGAGGCAGGACUGCCUAUUUGUUGGAGUAGCAGACUGGGAAAAGAAGCAGUGCAAGAUAACUUUACUUACUUUGUAGCUUUGGACAAGAAAUUGAUCCCGUAUUUCCAAUUUCCCAAGCAAUGUUCAUAAUCGCCUUUGUACCGUGCUUUAUGACACUGAAAGGAAGGGUCUGAUGAAGGUAUAAGGUCACCAUCUAUGGACAAUGAUCACUUUUUUUUUUAUGUCAUUUAACAAAGCUGAUUGACAGUUGCUGUGGCAGAGCAGUUGCAUUUUGUGACCAAAGCUGUCAACCUCCAGCUCUGCCUGAUGCAUUAUUCUCCUUUCUAAAGCCCUUGCUCUGUCCUUGAACACUGAAACAGAGGCUGUCGAGGAAUGUCUGUUUUUCAGGAAACUGAUGACCCUUUGUGCGUCACAACCUUCCAAGACAUGGGGCUAUCAUUGUGCAGCAGCUCACAUUCUAAUAGGUUGCUAUCAUUUUACAAUAGAUGCUCUAAUUAGAGUAAUCUAGUAUAUAUUCAAGUAAUAACGUUCCAUAAUAUUUUAUAAAAUAAGCCCAAUGCCAAUUGUUGCUGUUGGUUUGUAUCUUGGCUUUUUAUGUAAAAAAUCAUAAUACUUAGAGAAUACUUUGAAAAAUAUAUUCUUUUUCAAAGAAUCUCACAUCUGUUAGACUAUUGUGUUAAAUCAGAAGCACCACAAAAUCUGGUCUUUGAAAUCUCAAAUGAAAUCUGAACUU